rnacentral:rRNA from 1 species
UGGGGAAUCUUGGACAAUGGGCGCAAGCCUGAUCCAGCCAUGCCGCGUGAGUGAUGAAGGCCCUAGGGUUGUAAAACUCUUUCGUGGGGGACGAUAAUGACGGUACCCCAAGAAGAAGCUCCGGCUAACUUCGUGCCAGCAGCCGCGGUAAUACGAAGGGGGCUAGCGUUGUUCGGAUUUACUGGGCGUAAAGCGCGUGUAGGCGGGCUGGAAAGUUGGGGGUGAAAUCCUGGGGCUCAACCCCAGAACUGCCUUUGAUACUGGCUGUCUCGAGGUCGAGAGAGGUUGGUGGAAUUCCUAGUGUAGAGGUGAAAUUCGUAGAUAUUAGGAAGAACACCAGUGGCGAAGGCGGCCAACUGGCUCGAUACUGACGCUGAGGUGCGAAAGCGUGGGGAGCAAACAGGAUUAGAUACCCCGGUAGUCCCUGAGCGGGCUGGCAAGGCGCAU